rnacentral:rRNA from 1 species
GACGAACGCUGGCGGCGUGCUUAACACAUGCAAGUCGAACGGAAAGGCGAUGCUUUUGUGGGGUGCUCGUGUGGCGCGCGCGUGAGUAAAACGCGUGUAUCAUGCCCUUGACUGUGUGAUAACUUCACGGGACUGGGGCGCAUACCCGAUAUGAGCUACUGCUGCGUGGUGUGGAUUGGAGAGUUUCGGCGUUUGGGGAUGGACUCGCGGGUUAUGAGCUUGUUUGUGGGGUAGUGGAUUACCAAGGGUUUGACGGGUAGGCGGCCUGGGAGGGUGACCGGGGACAUGGCGACUGAGAGACGGCCCAGACUCGUACGGGACGCAGAAGUGGGGAACAUUGCACAAUGGGCGGAAGCCAGAUGUAGCAACGCCGCGUGCGGGAUGACGGGCUUCGGGGUGUAAACCGCUUUCGCCUGUGACGUAGCGGGAGUGACGGUAACGGGUAAAGAAGCACCGGCUAACUACGUG